ACGGGUGAGUAACGCGUGGGAAUCUACCGUGCCCUGCGGAAUAGCUCCGGGAAACUGGAAUUAAUACCGCAUACGCCCUACGGGGGAAAGAUUUAUCGGGGUAUGAUGAGCCCGCGUUGGAUUAGCUAGUUGGUGGGGUAAAGGCCUACCAAGGCGACGAUCCAUAGCUGGUCUGAGAGGAUGAUCAGCCACAUUGGGACUGAGACACGGCCCAAACUCCUACGGGAGGCAGCAGUGGGGAAUAUUGGACAAUGGGCGCAAGCCUGAUCCAGCCAUGCCGCGUGAGUGAUGAAGGCCUUAGGGUUGUAAAGCUCUUUCACCGGAGAAGAUAAUGACGGUAUCCGGAGAAGAAGCCCCGGCUAACUUCGUGCCAGCAGCCGCGGUAAUACAAAAGGGGCUAGCGUUGUUCGGAAUUACUGGGCGUAAAGCGCACGUAGGCGGAUAUUUAAGUCAGGGGUGAAAUCCCAGAGCUCAACUCUGGAACUGCCUUUGAUACUGGGUAUCUUGAGUAUGGAAGAGGUAAGUGGAAUUCCGAGUGUAGAGGUGAAAUUCGUAGA
rnacentral:rRNA from 1 species